ACGAACGCUGGCGGCGUGCUUAACACAUGCAAGUCGCACGGAAAGGCCCUGCUUGCAGGGUACUCGAGUGGCGAACGGGUGAGUAACACGUGGGUGAUCUGCCCUGCACUUCGGGAUAAGCCUGGGAAACUGGGUCUAAUACCGGAUAGGAGCCAUUUUUAGUGUGAUGGUUGGAAAGUUUUUUCGGUGUAGGAUGAGCUCGCGGCCUAUCAGCUUGUUGGUGGGGUAAUGGCCUACCAAGGCGGCGACGGGUAGCCGGCCUGAGAGGGUGGACGGCACAUUGGGACUGAGAUACGGCCCAGACUCCUACGGGAGGCAGCAGUGGGGAAUAUUGCACAAUGGGCGCAAGCCUGAUGCAGCGACGCCGCGUGGGGGAUGACGGCCUUCGGGUUGUAAACUCCUUUCGCUAGGGACGAAGCUUUUUGUGACGGUACCUAGAUAAGAAGCACCGGCUAACUACGUG
rnacentral:rRNA from 1 species